rnacentral:rRNA from 1 species
UACGGAGGGUGCGAGCGUUAUCCGGAAUUACUGGGCGUAAAGAGCUCGUAGGUGGUUUGUCGCGUUGUCCGUGAAAACUCACAGCUUAACUGUGGGCGUGCGGGCGAUACGGGCAGGCUGGAGUACUGCAGGGGAGACUGGAAUUCCUGGUGUAGCGGUGGAAUGCGCAGAUAUCAGGAGGAACACCGGUGGCGAAGGCGGUUCUCUGGGCCUUACCUGACGCUGAGGAGCGAAAGCGUGGGGAGCGAACAGG